rnacentral:rRNA from 1 species
AUUGAACGCUGGCGGCAUGCUUUACACAUGCAAGUCGAGCGGCAGCGCGGGGGCAACCCUGGCGGCGAGCGGCGAACGGGUGAGUAAUGCAUCGGAACGUACCCUGGAGUGGGGGAUAACGCCGCGAAAGCGGCGCUAAUACCGCAUAUGCUCUGAGGAGGAAAGUGGGGGGACCGCAAGGCCUCACGCUCUGGGAGCGGCCGAUGUCCGAUUAGCUAGUUGGUGGGUAAAGGCUUACCAAGGCGACGAUCGGUAGCUGGUCUGAGAGGAUGAUCAGCCACACUGGGACUGAGACACGGCCCAGACUCCUACGGGAGGCAGCAGUGGGGAAUAUUGGACAAUGGGCGCAAGCCUGAUCCAGCAAUGCCGCGUGUGUGAAGAAGGCCUGCGGGUUGUAAAGCACUUUCAGUGGGGAAGAACAGGUCCGGGUUAAUACCCUGGGCGUCUGACGUUACCCACAGAAGAAGCACCGGCUAACUCCGUGCCAGCAGCCGCGGUAA